UACCUUAGUUAGGAAGGAAAUGAUCAGA
rnacentral:piRNA from 1 species